AGUGGCAGACGGGUGAGUAAUGUAUAGGAAUCUACCUAGUAGUACGGAAUAAUUGUUGGAAACGGCAACUAAUACCGUAUACGCCCUACGGGGGAAAGAUUUAUCGCUAUUAGAUGAGCCUAUAUUAGAUUAGCUAGUUGGUAAGGUAAUGGCUUACCAAGGCAAUGAUCUAUAGCUGAUCUGAGAGGAUGAUCAGCCACACUGGAACUGAGAUACGGUCCAGACUCCUACGGGAGGCAGCAGUGGGGAAUAUUGGACAAUGGGCGAAAGCCUGAUCCAGCCAUGCCGCAUGAGUGAAGAAGGCCUUUGGGUUGUAAAGCUCUUUCGGUGAGGAAGAUAAUGACGGUACUCACAGAAGAAGUCCUGGCUAACUCCGUGCCAGCAGCCGCGGUAAUACGGAGAGGGCUAGCGUUAUUCGGAAUUAUUGGGCGUAAAGAGCGCGUAGGCUGGUUAGUAAGUUAAAAGUGAAAUCCCAAAGCUCAACUUUGGAAUUGCUUUUAAAACUGCUAACCUAGAGAUUGNAAGAGGAUAGAGGAAUUCCUAGUGUAGAGGUGAAAUUCGNNAAUAUUA
rnacentral:rRNA from 1 species